rnacentral:tRNA from 1 species
GGGGUUGUGGCUCAGUGGUACAGCACUUGCCUAGCAUGCAUGAGGCACUGGGUUCGAUCCUCAGCACCACA